rnacentral:tRNA from 1 species
GGAGAGGUGGCCGAGUGGCUUAAGGCAGCGGUUUGCUAAACCGCCAUACGGUUGUAAAGCCGUAUCGGGAGUUCGAAUCUCCCCUUCUCCG